rnacentral:rRNA from 1 species
AUUGAACGCUGGCGGCAGGCCUAACACAUGCAAGUCGAGCGGAGCGGCGGACGGGUGAGUAAUGCCUAGGAAUCUGCCUGGUAGUGGGGGAUAACGUCCGGAAACGGGCGCUAAUACCGCAUACUAUCAGAUGAGCCUAGGUCGGAUUAGCUAGUGGGUGGGGUAAAGGCCUACCAAGGCGACGAUCCGUAACUGGUCUGAGAGGAUGAUCAGUCACACGGGAACUGAGACACGGUCCAUGCUGCUACGUGAGGCUGAAGUGGGGAAUAAUGUACAAUGGUCGUAAGCCUGAGCCAUCCGUGUAGCGUGGGUGAAGAAGGCUGUAUGAUUUUUAUUCUCUUGAAGGUUCGAGGCGUUCCCUACAGAAUAUGCACCGGCUAACUCCGUGCCAGCCGCCGCUGUAAUUC